AGUAUAAUAGUUAACUUUGAAACUGCGAAUGGCUCAUAUAUCAUUAUAGUUUAUUUGAUGAAGAAUACUAAUUGGAUAACCGUAGUAAUUCUAGAGCUAAUACAUGUAUAAAGUCUUGUAGACUGCAUUUAUUAGAAUGAAAACCAUAGGUUUCGGCCUAUUCGUGAGUAAUAAUAACUAAUCAUAUCGUAUGCUUAAGUAACGAUGUGUCUUUCAAGUUUCUGCCCUAUCAGCUUUCGAUGGUAGUGUAUUGGACUACCAUG
rnacentral:rRNA from 1 species